rnacentral:lncRNA from 1 species
CGCCCCCGGACAGCCCCCCUUCCGCCCCCCGGGCCUCCAGCUUGGUCUUGCCCCACCCUGCCCAACCCAGCCAGGUCCUGUCCACCUGCCCUGGGGCAGGAUCCCAGGGGAGCCUAGCCGGGCUUGGGCUAGACUUCACCCCAUCCUGGGGCGGAGGUUGGGAUGAGUAGGAGGAAAGCAAAACAGCCAGAAGGGGCUAAGAUGGUGAGGCAUCGUGUCAGACCAGAGGUGGAACUUCCCGGCUGUCAGGGUGUGUGUCUCUGGAACAAAAAGGAAGUCUCACUUCCCUUCCCAAGAGGCCCAGAGCUGCAGCCAGGGGAUAACAGAGGGUGACCCCUGCAUUUGCUUCUUGUUCCUCAACCUGGCCUCCAGCCCAAUGCCUCAAGCCCUCAGCUCUUCUCAACUUGGUCCCUCUCUCCAUUCUCUACCUUCUUUAUGUAUCCCAGGCUGUGUGUGCCUGGCCAGCCAGUAAGGAUGGGGUGAGUAUGGGGAGGGGGGGAGUGAGUCGGGCUCUGUCUGGCCGGCACUUUGCCAGUCUCCCUGUCUCCCGCCCAUGCUAAUGACUCCCUGACUGACACCUGGCAAGACCAUUGGGUUGGGGGAGGCCAGG